AGCAGCCGCGGUAAUUCCAGCUCCAAUAGCGUAUAUUAAAGUUGUUGCAGUUAAAAAGCUCGUAGUUGAAUUUCGGGAUCAUCAGGUUGGUCGUGCCUCCGGUAUGUACUUGCUUCGGUGGUCCCUCCUUCUUGAAGAACCGUAAUGCCAUUAAUUUGGUGUUGCGGGGAAACAGGACUGUUACUUUGAAAAAAUUAGAGUGUUUAAAGCAGGCAAUCGCUUGAAUACAUUAGCAUGGACUAAUGAAAUAGGACGUUCGAUCUUAUUUUGUUGGUUUCUAGGAUUGACGUAAUGAUUAAUAGGGAUAGUUGGG
rnacentral:rRNA from 1 species